rnacentral:ncRNA from 1 species
CGGGGUGCUGGCGGCAUGGUGUGCGUCGGCUGAGAUGAGACCCGCAGAACCUGAUCCGGGUAAUGCCGGCGGAGGAAAAAGAUGAA